rnacentral:snoRNA from 1 species
CUGAAUGAUGACGGAAAAAAACUAAAGCUGGAAUUACUGGCUGAAUCUUUGUGAUGGAUAACGUUUUGCUCUAACUGACU